rnacentral:rRNA from 1 species
ACUCCUACGGGAGGCAGCAGUAGGGAAUAUUAGUAAUGGGCGAAAGCCUGAACUAGCAACGCCGCGUGUGCGAAGAAGGCCUUCGGGUUGUAAAGCACUUUUUGAGAGGAUGAGGAAGGACGGUACUCUCAGAAUAAGUCUCGGCUAACUACGUGCCAGCAGCCGCGGUAAU